rnacentral:misc_RNA from 1 species
GUAUUAAAAUUUAUGUGUGUGCACGCUCUCUUUCAAGGGCGGCAACAGCAGAUUACGUUAUAGCAUGCUUCUAGUUGCACUAUCUCAACACACUUCACAGUAGUUAGAAGGCGUAAAUCCUUCGCUAUGAAAAUGAUCCUUCCGCAGGUUCACCUACGGAAA